AGACCUUCAGAUCAACAUCCUUACAAAUCCUGACUGCUUGUCAAAAACACAAUUUGAAAUUACUGGAUUGCCAGAGAGAAGAAACCAGGCUCUCUUGUACUGCUUGCUUCUGUCCCUGUCUGAACAUCUGCUUCUUUGCACUAUGACUCCUGCCUCAGUUCUUCCCCCUCUAGGCACAUUAUCGCUUUCUUUCAGUGAAUAUCCACCUUGGAGAAUUUGAUUUUCUUCAUAGCCACAGCUUUUGCUGGAUGCUGCAGAACCACUGAGAAUGUUGGAGCAACACAGCUGGCAAGCUUUCAGAUUCACGGGGCAAAAUUGGAAAUACAAGUGUUAAAAUUUUGGCUUGCAGAUAAGUCUUGUGUGUUUUCUGCAUAGUAUCACUUAGCAAAAUCCUGAUGUCCGGAAUAAUUGUGCUAGCAGCAGUGCCCUGAGAAGCUGAAGGCUUCCAGUCAUAUUGCAGCACAGCUCAAGAAGCACAUAUAAUUCCAUUGAUUUAACUGGCCACUCUUUGAAUGUCAGUGGGUGUGUUCUAGGGCUGUUAUCUACUUGAAUGCUGC
rnacentral:lncRNA from 1 species